UACGUAGGGUGCAAGCGUUAAUCGGAAUUACUGGGCGUAAAGCGUGCGCAGGCGGUUUUGUAAGUCUGUCGUGAAAUCCCCGGGCUUAACCUGGGAAUGGCGAUGGAGACUGCAAGGCUGGAGUUUGGCAGAGGGGGGUAGAAUUCCACGUGUAGCAGUGAAAUGCGUAGAGAUGUGGAGGAACACCGAUGGCGAAGGCAGCCCCCUGGGUCAAAACUGACGCUCAUGCACGAAAGCGUGGGGAGCAAACAGG
rnacentral:rRNA from 1 species